rnacentral:rRNA from 1 species
CGCGUGAGUGAUGAAGGCUUAGGGUUGUAAAGCUCUUUUACCAGGGAUGAUAAUGACAGUACCUGGAGAAUAAGCUCCGGCUAACUCCGUGCCAGCAGCCGCGGUAAUACGGAGGGAGCUAGCGUUAUUCGGAAUUACUGGGCGUAAAGCGUACGUAGGCGGUUAUUCAAGUCAGAGGUGAAAGCCCGGGGCUCAACCCCGGAACUGCCUUUGAAACUAGGUAGCUAGAAUCUUGGAGAGGUCAGUGGAAUUCCGAGUGUAGAGGUGAAAUUCGUAGAUAUUCGGAAGAACACCAGUGGCGAAGGCGACUGACUGGACAAGUAUUGACGCUGAGGUACGAAAGCGUGGGGGAGCAAACAGGGAUUAGAUACCCUGGGUAGUCCACGCCCGUAAACGAUGAUACUAGCUGUCCGGGCACUUGGUGCCUGGGUGGCGCANCNUAACGCAUUAAGUUAUCCCCUGGGGAGU